rnacentral:rRNA from 1 species
GUUUCAGAACGACUCUCGGCAACGGAUAUCUCGGCUCUUGCAUCGAUGAAGAACGUAGCGAAAUGCGAUACUUGGUGUGAAUUGCAGAAUCCCGUGAACCAUCGAGUCUUUGAACGCAAGUUGCGCCCGAAGCCCUUAGGCUGAGGGCACGCCUGCCUGGGUGUCACCAA